rnacentral:rRNA from 1 species
CCUACGGGUGGCAGCAGUGGGGAGUAUUGCGCAAUGGGCGAAAGCCUGACGCAGCGACGCCGCGUGAGGGAUGAAGGUCUUCGGAUCGUAAACCUCUGUCAGCAGGGAAGAACGGUCACUGUGCUAAUCAGCAGUGAAUUGACGGUACCUGCAAAGGAAGCACCGGCUAACUCCGAGCCAGCAGCCGCGGGAAUACGGAGGGUGCGAGCGUUAAUCGGAAUGACUGGGCGUAAAGCGCUCGUAGGCGGUAUGUCAAGUCAAGGGUGAAAUCCCCGCGCUCAACGUGGGAACUGCCUUUGAAACUGGCAAACUGGAGUGUGUGAGAGGAUAGUGGAAUUCCAGGUGUAGGAGUGAAAUCCGUAGAUAUCUGGAGGAACAUCAGUGGCGAAGGCGACUAUCUGGAACAUAACUGACGCUGAGGAGCGAAAGCGUGGGUAGCAAACAGGAUUAGAUACCCUUGUAGUC